GGUUCCAUAGUGUAGCGGUUAUCACGUCUGCUUUACGCGCAGAAGGUCCUGGGUUCAAGCCCCAGUGGAACCA
rnacentral:tRNA from 1 species